GAUGAACGCUGGCGGCGUGCCUAAUACAUGCAAGUCGAGCGAACGGACGAGAAGCUUGCUUCUCUGAUGUUAGCGGCGGACGGGUGAGUAACACGUGGAUAACCUACCUAUAAGACUGGGAUAACUUCGGGAAACCGGAGCUAAUACCGGAUAAUAUUUUGAACCGCAUGGUUCAAUAGUGAAAGACGGUCUUGCUGUCACUUAUAGAUGGAUCCGCGCUGCAUUAGCUAGUUGGUAAGGUAACGGCUUACCAAGGCGACGAUGCGUAGCCGACCUGAGAGGGUGAUCGGCCACACUGGAACUGAGACACGGUCCAGACUCCUACGGGAGGCAGCAGUAGGGAAUCUUCCGCAAUGGGCGAAAGCCUGACGGAGCAACGCCGCGUGAGUGAUGAAGGUCUUCGGAUCGUAAAACUCUGUUAUUAGGGAAGAACAUAUGUGUAAGUAACUGUGCACAUCUUGACGGUACCUAAUCAGAAAGCCACGGCUAACUACGUG
rnacentral:rRNA from 1 species